CAUAUCAAAAAGCGGAGGAAAAGAAACCAACAGGGAUUGCCUCAGUAGCGGCGAGUGAAGCGGCAAAAGCUCAAAUUUGAAAUCUGGCGUCUUUGGCGUCCGAGUUGUAAUUUGAAGAAGGUAUCUUUGGGCCCGGCUCUUGUCUAUGUUCCUUGGAACAGGACGUCACAGAGGGUGAGAAUCCCGUGCGAUGAGAUGACCCGGGUCUGUGUAAAGUUCCUUCGACGAGUCGAGUUGUUUGGGAAUGCAGCUCUAAGUGGGUGGUAAAUUCCAUCUAAAGCUAAAUAUUGGCGAGAGACCGAUAGCGAACAAGUACAGUGAUGGAAAGAUGAAAAGAACUUUGAAAAGAGAGUGAAAAAGUACGUGAAAUUGUUGAAAGGGAAGGGCUUGAGAUCAGACUUGGUAUUUUGCAUGCUGCUCUCUCGGGGGCGGCCGCUGCGGUUUACCGGGCCAGCAUCGGUUUGGAGCGGCAGGAUAAUGGCGGAGGAAUGUGGCACGGCUUCUGCUGUGUGUUAUAGCCUCUGACGAUACUGCCAGCCUAGACCGAGGACUGCGGUUUUUACCUAGGAUGUUGGCAUAAUGAUCUUAAGUCGCCCGUCUUGAAACCACGGACCC
rnacentral:rRNA from 1 species